rnacentral:rRNA from 1 species
CAAUUGAGACCCGGAGCAGCGGCGAGCGAGCGGGAAGAGCUCAAAUUUAUAAUCUGGCACUUUCAGUGUCCGAGUUGUAAUCUCUAGAAGUGUUUUCCGCAUUGGACCGCACACAAGUCUGUUGGAAUACAGCGGCACAGUGGUGAGACCCCCGUAUACGGUGCGGAUGCCCAAUGCUUUGUGAUACACUUUCGAAGAGUCGAGUUGUUUGGGAAUGCAGCUCAAAUUGGGUGGUAAAUUCCAUCUAAAGCUAAAUAUUGGCGAGAGACCGAUAGCGAACAAGUACCGUGAGGGAAAGAUGAAAAGCACUUUGGAAAGAGAGUUAACAGUACGUGAAAUUGUUGGAAGGGAAACGCUUGAAGUCAGACUUGCUAUUCGGGGCUUGCUCCGAGUUGCAGGCCAGCAUCAGUUUUCUGGGGUGGAAAAUCACGGUUAGAAGGUAGCAACUUCGGUUGUGUUAUAGCUUUCCGUUGGAUACAUCCUGGGGGACUGAGGAACGCAGUGUGCUUUUAGCAGGAGCUUCGGCUUCAUCACACUUAGGAUGCUGGUGGAAUGGCUUUAAACGACCCGUCUUGAACCCCGGGAACACCAG